rnacentral:misc_RNA from 1 species
UCAAACUUGGUCAUUUAGAGGAAGUAAAAGUCGUAACAAGGUUUCCGUAGAUGAAUCUGCGGAAGGAUCAUUACCAAUAGUGGCUGGUCUGCAGCAGCUUUUUGCUGCACGCCGCCACGAAAUCCUCCGUCAACCUGUUGCACUUGUUUGCGAGUCGUGCGCGUUGGGUUCUGUCGCAAGGCAGAGCGCGCGCACGCUUCUCAUUCAAUACGCGCAUCAGCGACACACACACAACAACUCACAGUUGAAUAUACAACACAACAAAACACAACUUUCAACAAUGGAUCUCUUGGCUCUCGCAUCGAUGAAGAACGCAGC